rnacentral:ribozyme from 13 species
GUGCCAGCAAAUUCAACCCACCGCAUAGACACACUUCUUGAGCAAGAGUUCCGGGCAGAGACGGCGAGCAUCGUCAAAUCUAUGACACGUACCGGAUGGAACAGCGAUUCUGAGC